rnacentral:rRNA from 1 species
CAGCCGCCGCGGUAAUACGAGGGGGGCAAGCGUUGUUCGGAAUUAUUGGGCGUAAAGGGUGCGUAGGCGGUUUGGCAAGUCUUGUGUGAAAUCUUCGGGCUCAACCCGAAGCCUGCACGAGAAACUGCCGGGCUUGAGUAUUGGAGAGGUGAGUGGAAUUUCCGGUGUAGCGGUGAAAUGCGUAGAUAUCGGAAGGAACACCUGUGGCGAAAGCGGCUCACUGGACAAUAACUGACGCUGAUGCACGAAAGCUAGGGGAGCAAACAGGAUUAGAUACCCCUGUAGCCCUGUCUCUUAUACA